rnacentral:rRNA from 1 species
GAUGAACGCUAGCUACAGGCUUAACACAUGCAAGUCGAGGGGCAGCACGGAGAUAGCUUGCUAUCUUGGGUGGCGACCGGCGCACGGGUGAGUAACGCGUAUCCAACCUGCCCAUUACUCUGGGAUAGCCUUGCGAAAGUAAGAUUAAUACCGGAUGUUGUUAAAAACCCGCAUGAGUUUUUAACCAAAGAUUUAUUGGUAAUGGAUGGGGAUGCGUGACAUUAGGUAGUUGGUGAGGUAACGGCUCACCAAGCCGACGAUGUCUAGGGGUUCUGAGAGGAAGGUCCCCCACACUGGAACUGAGACACGGUCCAGACUCCUACGGGAGGCAGCAGUGAGGAAUAUUGGUCAAUGGACGAGAGUCUGAACCAGCCAAGUAGCGUGCAGGAUGACGGCCCUCUGGGUUGUAAACUGCUUUUAGUUGGGAAUAAAAAGAGGGACUUGUCCCUAAUUGUAUGUACCAUCAGAAAAAGGACCGGCUAAUUCCGUGCCAGCCGCCGCUGUAAAAC